rnacentral:pre_miRNA from 1 species
UAACCUCAGUAGGCUGGGUGUCCCCCAAGCAGGUCUGGAUGAGUAUGUCUUCAAAGGCUCACCCUGAAGCACAACUAGGGGC